UCCCAUAUGGUCUAGCGUUUAGGAUUCCUGGUUUUCACCCCCAGGUGGCCCGGGUUCAACUCCCGGUAUGGGAA